AUACGUAGGGGGCGAGCGUUGUCCGGAAUGAUUGGGCGUAAAGGGCGCGUAGGCGGCCCGGUAAGUCUGGAGUGAAAGUCCUGCUUUUAAGGUGGGAAUUGCUUUGGAUACUGUCGGGCUUGAGUGCAGGAGAGGUAAGUGGAAUUCCCAGUGUAGCGGUGAAAUGCGUAGAGAUUGGGAGGAACACCCGUGGCGAAGGCGACUUACUGGACUGUAACUGACGCUGAGGCGCGAAAGUGUGGGGAGCAAACAGGAUUAGAUACCCUGGUAGUCCACACUGUAAACGAUGAAUGCUAGGUGUAGGGGGUAUCGACCCCUUCUGUGCCGCAGUUAACACAAUAAGCAUUCCGCCUGGGGAGUACGGCCGCAAGGUUGAAACUCAAAUGAAUUGGCGGGG
rnacentral:rRNA from 1 species